CUGUUGUUUUCUCAACGAUAUCUGUGUACUAUUAAUGUUAUUGUUGUAACAUUUUUUGUUCUCAAUUGCAGCUUCUGCUCUCCCAAGCAUGAACAAUGACAGAUGUAAUGGAUCUAAUCUAAACCCGAGAAGGAUUGAAAAUAUAUUUUCUCAUCCUCGCCAACCACGGUCUGUUAGGCCUCGUUUGUGUUUGUCAUUAGAUUCUGAUUCAGAGUAGUUCAGACAUCACACUGGGAUAGCUGAAUUUGCUAUUAAUCUGGCAAAGUUGGCUUCCAGAAUCUUGAAUUUUAUUGUGGAGGGCUAUCAGGUUAUUCUGGUUGAUACAAAGAGAAACACCAGUGUGGAUGCUUUGUUGCAUUAACCUGGUAAGAUUCAAGUGUUCUAUAUGAUCCAAGUGGGAUCUCCAUAGAGUUCAUCUAAUGGUUGGUACAGGAUAUUUUCUAACUGGGAGUGGUUUAACGUGGCUAGUGGAGCAGGCUGUACAUUUUCCCUGACAUUUACUGGGUAUAAGGAAUAGGGGGGCAUCACUUGGCACAAGACAAAUACAUGUGAAUGUUUUGUGUGUACCAUCAUUGUAUUUAGGGUUCGGGUGUUAAUUUAGAUGUUUAUGACCCUGAUGUUUGAUGGAAAAUAAAUUAUUCCUUGAUGAA